rnacentral:rRNA from 1 species
CCUACGGGUGGCAGCAGUCGAGAAUUAUUCACAAUGGGGGAAACCCUGAUGGUGCGACGCCGCGUGGGGGAAUGAAGGUCUUCGGAUUGUAAACCCCUGUCAUGUGGGAGCAAAUUAAAAAGAUAGUACCACAAGAGGAAGAGACGGCUAACUCUGUGCCAGCAGCCGCGGUAAUACAGAGGUCUCAAGCGUGGUUCGGAAUCACUGGGCGUAAGGCGUGCGUAGGCUGUUUCGUAAGUCGUGUGUGAAAGGCGCGGGCUCAACCCGCGGACGGCACAUGAUACUGCGAGACUAGAGUAAUGGAGGGGGAACCGGAAUUCUCGGUGUAGCAGUGAAAUGCGUAGAUAUCGAGAGGAACACUCGUGGCGAAGGCGGGUUCCUGGACAUUAACUGACGCUGAGGCACGAAGGCCAGGGGAGCGAAAGGGAUUAGAUACCCGGGUAGUC